UUCCGGUUGAUCCUGCCGGACCUGACUGCUAUCGGAUUGAUACUAAGCCAUGCGAGUCAUUGUAGUAAUACAAGGCAGACGGCUCAGUAACGCGUAGUCAACCUACCCUAAGGACGGGGAUAACCUCGGGAAACUGAGAAUAAUACCCGAUAGAACAUAGCUCCUGGAAUGGUUUAUGUUUCAAAUAAUUUAUUGCCCUAGGAUGGGACUGCGGCCUAUCAGUUUGUUGGUGAGGUAAUGGCCCACCAAGACUAUUACAGGUACGGGCUCUGAGAGGAGUGGCCCGGAGAUGGGUACUGAGACACGGACCCAGGCCCUAUGGGGCGCAGCAGGCGAGAAAACUUUGCAAUGUGCGAAAGCACGACAAGGUUAAUCCGAGUGGUUUCUGCUAAAGGAACCUUUUGUCAGUCCUAGAAACACUGAUGAAUAAGGGGUGGGCAAGUUCUGGUGUCAGCCGCCGCGGUAAAACCAGCACCUCAAGUGGUCAGGAUGAUUAUUGGGCCUAAAGCAUCCGUAGCCGGCUUUGUAAGUUUUCGGUUAAAUCCAUGCGCUCAACGUAUGGGCUGCCGGGAAUACUGCAAAGCUAGGGAGUGGGAGAGGUAGACGGUACUCGGUAGGAAGGGGUAAAAUCCUUUGAUCUAUUGAUGACCACCUGUGGCGAAGGCGGUCUACCAGAACACGUCCGACGGUGAGGGAUGAAAGCUGGGGGAGCAAACCGGAUUAGAUACCCGGGUAGUCCCAGCUGUAAACUAUGCAAACUCAGUGAUGCAUUGGCUUGAUGCCAAUGCAGUGCUGCAGGGAAGCCGUUAAGUUUGCCGCCUGGGAAGUACGUACGCAAGUAUGAAACUUAAAGGAAUUGGCGGGGGAGCACCACAAGGGGUGAAGCCUGCGGUUCAAUUGGAUUCAACGCCGGA
rnacentral:rRNA from 1 species